rnacentral:rRNA from 1 species
CCAGCAGCCGCGGUUAAACCAAGAGAUUAAAUCAUACUUAUAUGGUAAAAAGGCAGUUAGACUUAAAAUAUAAGAGUAUAUUAAUUUUUUAUAAAAAGGUAAAAUUUGAAUAUAAAAAAUAAAUCUAAUAAUUUCUCGUUAGUUGAAGCUGCGAUAGUUUUGAGGGAAACUGGGAUUAGAUACCCCAUUAUUCUUAACUGUAAAUUAAUUAAAGUUUACCCGAGUACUAUGAAUUUUAUGUAAUUUAAAACUCAAAGGGCUUGGCGGUGUUUUAGACCUCUUAGGGGAACCUGUCUCAUAAUCGACAAUCCACGUUAAACCUAACCUUUUUUUGCAAAUCAGUUUAUAUACCGUUGUCGUCAGGUAACUUUUGAAAAUUUAGAAGUUAGCAAAAUUAAUAAUGUAUAAAUUAGGACGUCAAAUCAAGGUGUAGCCAAUAAAAAGGAGAGGAUGGGUUACAAUUAUUUAAAUUAUAAUUACGGAUUAUUAUAUGAAAUAAUUUUAGGAAGGAGGACUUAAAAGUAAAAUAUAUUAUAUAAACAUUUUGAAUAAGGCUCUGAAACGUGCACACAUCGCCCGCCGCUCUAAAA